rnacentral:rRNA from 1 species
AUUGAACGCUGGCGGCAGGCCUAACACAUGCAAGUCGAGCGGCAGCGGGAAAGUAGCUUGCUACUUUUGCCGGCGAGCGGCGGACGGGUGAGUAAUGCCUGGGGAUCUGCCCAGUCGAGGGGGAUAACUACUGGAAACGGUAGCUAAUACCGCAUACGCCCUACGGGGGAAAGCAGGGGACCUUCGGGCCUUGCGCGAUUGGAUGAACCCAGGUGGGAUCGGCUAGUUGGUGAGGUAAUGGCUCACCAAGGCGACGAUCCCUAGCUGGUCUGAGAGGAUGACCAGCCACACUGGAACUGAGACACGGUCCAGACUCCUACGGGAGGCAGCAGUGGGGAAUAUUGCACAAUGGGGGAAACCCUGAUGCAGCCAUGCCACGUGUGUGAAGAAGGCCUUCGGGUUGUAAAGCACUUUCAGCGAGGAGGAAAGGUUGGUAGCUAAUAACUGCCAGCUGUGACGUUACUCGCAGAAGAAGCACCGGCUAACUCCGUGCCAGCCGCCGCCGUAACAC